rnacentral:lncRNA from 1 species
UUUUUUUUCUUUUUCUUUUUUUUUUUUUUUUAAGUACCAAAAUAGUUUUUAUUUUUUAUGGGGAAUUAGUACGAAACAAUUUCUUCUUCUUUUUUUUUUGUUUUUUAAGUUUGGGACCAAAAGAUAUAUAUAUUCUAGAACUAGACUACUAUACUAUCGAUAGCACGGAGGACUUUGUACUACCAAGUUGUUUUCGAUUAUACGGCUUUCAAAUCGAUGAUCGGCUCCGUUAGACUUUAUCUACACUAUUAAAAGUAUUUAGAAACUAAAUCUUAUAAUUUUUCGAUAUCAUUUACUUAUCAAACAAGUAAUCUAAAAUUGAACGGCUGAAAAUAAAAAUCUCAUAAAAAAUAAUGAUAAAAGAUUUAAAUUCAAGAUAAGAUAUACUAAUGUUACUCUAAAUAGUGAAAAGAAUUUUUUAUAAAAUUUUCAUCGCAUUUGGAUUAUUUUAUGCAGUUAAACUUAUAAACACACCACAUCGGCUAUUAAAAUUAUCAAUUUUGAGAUCUUUUGAUCACUAGUCAAAUGAUGCCGAAAAAAUCUGAAAUUUAUUUUCUAAAUACUUUCAAUAAUGUAGAUCAAGUCUAACGGAGCCGAUCGUCGAUUUUAAAGCCGCAUAAUCGAAAAUAACUUAGUAGUACGGAGCUCUCGUGCUACCGAUAGUACAGUAGCCGGACUCUAUAUUCUAACUACAUUAUUCAUG